rnacentral:ncRNA from 2 species
GCCGCGUCUUUCAGGUGAGCAUCCUUACAUUUUGUUCCCAGUGUGGAACUGAUUGCAAGCCUGUUUCCAGGAGAUGCUAUAUGGCA